AGAUUGAACGCUGGCGGCAUGCCUUACACAUGCAAGUCGAACGCGAAAGGGGGGCAACCCCCGAGUAGAGUGGCGAACGGGUGAGUAAUACAUCGGAACGUAUCCAGUAGCGGGGGAUAACCUCUCGAAAGAGAGGCUAAUACCGCAUACGACCUACGGGUGAAAGAGGGGGAUCGCAAGACCUCUCACUAUUGGAGCGGCCGAUGUCGGAUUAGCUAGUUGGCGGGUAACGCCACAAGCUACGAUCCGUAGCUGGUCUGAGAGGACGACCAGCCACACUGGAACUGAGACACGGUCCAGACUCCGUACGGGAGCAGCAGGUGGGAAUUUGGACAAGUGGGACGCAAGGCCUGACUCCAGCCAGUCGCCGCGUGAGUAGAAGUAACGGUCCGUUGGGUUAGUAAAGUCC
rnacentral:rRNA from 1 species